rnacentral:rRNA from 1 species
UACGUAGGGUCCGAGCGUUGUCCGGAUUCAUUGGGCGUAAAGAGCUCGUAGGCGGUUCGGUAAGUCGGAUGUGAAAACUCAGGGCUCAACCCGGAGACGCCAUCCGAUACUGCUGUGACUCGAGUCUGGUAGGGGAACACGGAAUACCUGGUGUAGCGGUGAAAUGCACAGAUAUCAGGUGGAACACCGAUGGCGAAGGCAGUGUUCUGGGCCAGUACUGACGCUGAGGAGCGAAAGCGUGGGGAGCAAACAGG